AUGAAUGCCUGCGCUCUGAACUCAAUGGAGAUGAAGGCGAAGCCGGCGAGGGGCGGGAAGCGGAGCAGGGCGAGCGGCGGCACGGCGGUGGUGCUGCUGGAGAAGAAGGAGUCCGAGAAGGAGAGGAGGAAGCGCAUGAAGGGGCUCUGCGAGAAGCUCGCAUCCCUCAUCCCAAGAGAACACUGCUGCUCCAGCACUGCCAUCAUUGAUGAGGUAUGUAUACAUGGAUUUCAAAGAGAAAACACCGGAGGAAAUCAACUUCCAACGGAAAAGUGUUGGUUCUUCAUUGGGGGUGACCAUCAUCAAUCUAUUGAUAAGGAUACAAUGACCCAGCUAGGCAGCCUGGAUGUUGGGGCGUCAUACAUCAAGAAGCUGAAGGAGAGGGUCGAUGAGCUACAACGUAGGAGGAGCUCCGUGCAGGCCUUCGACACAUUAAAAGGAGAUACUAGUAUCCCAACGCCCACUACCACGACUACCACAAGCAGUGGUCCUGGGUCGCCAGAAGAAGAGAAAGCUUGGGAGGCAUCGGAACCGGUAUUGCAGGUGCGGCAACACGACGAUUCAAGCAUGGAGGUGAGACUAAUAUGCUGCAUGGAGAGGCCGAUCAAGCUCCAUGAGGUAAUCACCAUCCAUGAGGAAGAAGGUGCUGAGAUCAUCAACGCCAAUCACUCGGUUGCUGGCCACAAAAUGUUCUACACUAUACACUCUCGGGCCUUCAGCUCGAGAAUUGGCAUAGAUGUUUCAAGGGUUUCUGAACGACUGGGAGCAUUGAGCCGACUCUUUUCGCACGAAAAGCAGGCACCAUCGUGCAUGCGCAGCAUUGAGGUCCCCAAGUACACUGAUGGGACCAACCUAACUCCUCCCAAGGAGCUCAUCAGCAACAACGAUAUAGGUGGAACUAAUAAGGUACCCAACCCCGAGUGUGAGUAUUGGGCUGAGCAAGAUCAAUUGAUGUGGAGUUCCCUUCUUGUGUCAAUAUCAACAGAGUUAAUCGAGUAG
rnacentral:rRNA from 1 species